rnacentral:lncRNA from 1 species
UCAAUCUACGGAUUAUUUUUAGUCAGAAUUAUUUUCUUUUAGUUUGCUAGGCAGUUUUCUUACUUUGUAAAAGUAAUAGUAAUCCACAUCGGGGACUAUUGCGAUUUAUUAUUUACGCAUUUGAAUUCAAUUGUAACGGUUACUCAUCGCCAAAGCCUGCCGACAUUAUUUUAAUCGAAGAAUCAAGAUUCAGUUCCAAUUCUCA